GAUGCCGUGUACCCCGAUGGGUAAGGGGGCGGGGGCGGCGCAAGCCGCCCGCGUUGAUGUUGGUUCGAGUCCAACCCGGCAUCAC
rnacentral:tRNA from 1 species